UAUCUCUGUAGAGUCUGCAUAUCAAUAAGCGGAGGAAAAGAAACUAACAAGGAUUCCCCUAGUAACGGCGAGUGAAGCGGGAAGAGCUCAAAUUUGAAAUCUUCAAGGUUUGACCUUGACGAAUUGUAGUUUAAAGAAGUGUUUUCGGUUAGAGGAGUGGUAAAAGUUCUUUGGAAUAGGACAUCAUAGAGGGUGAGAAUCCCGUAUUUGACCAUUAUUUCCUAGCUUUGUGAUACACUUUCAAAGAGUCGGAUUGUUUGGGAAUGCAGUCCAAAAUGGGUGGUAAAUUUCAUCUAAAGCUAAAUAUCGGCGAGAGACCGAUAGCGAACAAGUACCGUGAGGGAAAGAUGAAAAGAACUUUGAAAAGAGAGUUAAACAGUACGUGAAAUUGUCAAAAGGGAAGCGUUUGACACCAGUGUUGUUUUUCCGAAAAUCAAUUAAAAAUGGAUUCAUGCUAAGUUGUAUUGACCUUAUCAGCUUGCAAUUUAGUUUUGGGUUUCUUUUUGAUGCACUUUUCGGUUAACAAGUCAACAUCAAUUUCCUUUGCUGUAAAAAGGCAGGAGGAAGGUGGCUUCAAUUUCGGUUGAAGUGUUUAUAGCCUUCUGUCUCUGCAGUCGGGGAGAUUGAGGUCUGCAGCGUAGAUCCUUCGGGGCUAGAUACAUUCGUGCUAAGUUAUAGCCUUUUAUAGACAACUUGUUGACUAUGAUUGGUCUUGUAAUUUACUCGCGAGUGCUAUUUUACCUACGCUUAGGAUGUUGAUCUACAGAGCGAGAU
rnacentral:rRNA from 1 species